CUGGGAUAACUCCGGGAAACCGGGGCUAAUACCGGAUGCUUGAUUGAACCGCAUGGUUCCAAUCAUACAAGGUGGCUUUCAGCUACCACUUACUGAUGGACCCGCGGCGCAUUAGCUAGUUGGUGAGGUAACGGCUCACCAAGGCGACGAUGCGUAGCCGACCUGAGAGGGUGAUCGGCCACACUGGGACUGAGACACGGCCCAGACUCCUACGGGAGGCAGCAGUAGGGAAUCUUCCGCAAUGGACGAAAGUCUGACGGAGCAACGCCGCGUGAGUGAUGAAGGUUUUCGGAUCGUAAAACUCUGUUGUUAGGGAAGAACAAGUACCGUUCGAAUAGGGCGGCACCUUGACGGUACCUAACCAGAAAGCCACGGCUAACUACGUGCCAGCAGCCGCGGUAAUACGUAGGUGGCAAGCGUUGUCCGGAAUUAUUGGGCGUAAAGCGCGCGCAGGCGGUUUCUUAAGUCUGAUGUGAAAGCCCCCGGCUCAACCGGGGAGGGUCAUUGGAAACUGGGGAACUUGAGUGCAGAAGAGGAGAGUGGAAUUCCACGUGUAGCGGUGAAAUGCGUAGAGAUGUGGAGG
rnacentral:rRNA from 1 species